AUGCCAAAUUAACUCAUAAUAUAAAUCAUGAUUCCUAAGUCAUAAAUUAAAAAUUACACCAAAAUCAAAAAUGGAUUAAAAAAAGAAAAAGAAAAGAGAACGACAGAACAAUGAAGGAGAAAGACGCUCACUACUCACUAGUCACUGCUCACGAGUCACGGGAGGUCCGACCGUCCAGUCCAGAGUCUGUCGAUGGCCAGGCAAGCUGUAACAGGAGGUGGAGGCGUCAAGCGUGGAAGUUGGAAUGGGAUGAGAUUUGAAACCAGCAGCGUAUGUUUUUUCAAUUGAUCUGAUGCCUUCAAAUUGGUUUUGUUAUAUAUGGAUCAUUGGAUAAUUUGAAUUGGACCUAGUUAUUUAAUAAGAAAGGCCCACAACCCAAACUAUAAAAAAAAAAACAAAAAACAAAAAACAAAAAACGAACAGAAACCCAAACCUCGCCGGUCACCUUCUUCCUUCCACUGUUCCGACGGAGCCCAGCACGAGCGGCCGCGCCCCCUCGCUGGGUGCUGGAUCCGCCGCUGACUAAAUUAAUGAAAAAUAAGCCUUGUUUAACCUUUCCCUACCAUCACACGAGUAUCAUGUGAUUAUUUAACAUGUAGAUAAAAUUUUUUAUUAGUUGGGGAUUUGGGUGCCACAUUUGCAAAAGGUUG
rnacentral:lncRNA from 1 species